CUGGAAGAAAGGAGACUGCUCAUUCAUGGACCCUCUCCUGGCUCUCAUCAGACCCUGGGGCUGAGCACAGAAAAGGCACCUGACUCCAGGAAACACUCUGUGUGGGGCGCGGCGGAGACAGAAAUGCAACAAGGUGUCACGACACACAAUCUGCAGCAUCUGAAGCUGGAACUAUGGAGCAGGAGCAUCAGCCAGAUGCAGGUCCCUGGAGACAGCCCCCACCAGACCAGCAGGACAAAGACCAGGCUCACCGUAGCUGAGCUGCUCCGGGGACCCCUGGCCUUGGCCAGCCUCCCCAGCAUGACAAAUCCAGAGGUCGAAAGUGGCCACCUGCAAGGCAGCUCUGGGGUCAUGGUUGAAGUAGGUCAGCGACCUUCUGCCAGCUGCCAGGGUGAGGUGAGCAGCAGGUAAGCAUCUGUCCUACCCAACCACCCUGGUCCCAAAUGAUGGGAAAGGACAGACUGUGAGAGCUGCAGGACCCAAGGCCAUGCCCAGGACCCUGGCAGGUCUCCCCCGUGAGGGGCAGAGGGGCAGCUCUGAGGAAGCUCAGGACACCUGGCUCUUGCUUAGGGUGGGCACUAAAGAGAGGUUGAAGCCAGGGCUCCCAUUCCUCCCAACUGCCAAGGGUGACCCGGGGCCCCAGUCACCAUCCAGAAGAACCCCGAGGAUGGGCUGGAAGUCCUCAGCCGUCAUCUGCCACAGCGCAAAGGCUUCGCGGGGCGUCUCAGGGAGCAGGCGCACAAGGAAGACAAUGGUGUGCUCAGGCGGCAGGGCCACUGGGUGGAUGUCGCUGGGGGCAUGGGAGGGGGCAUGAGCAGAAUGAAGGGUGGCUGGGCUUGGACCAGGCCUCCCAGGCACAGGCCCCCUGCAGCCCCAGUCUCACCCUGGCGCUGCUCUGCUGACCAUGGUGGAGACUGCACACACAGCCUUCCCAGCUGUGGACGGAGUGUGGCAGCCGUCUGUACCCCAGAACACAGACUGGGGGUACAUACGGCCAUGGUCUAAAGGCCAAGCUGGGGUCUCCCCUGCCUCAGUGUCCCCGGGAGUAACAUGGGGUAUGUAAAGGACAGAAUUCCCUCCAAGAAGCUUCAAGGCACCUGGCCUGACACAGCCCUCUACCUUCCCUGAGGCCUGGCCAGUGAAGGUCACCUAGAAGGGGCUCACCCAGGCCCUGUGCUUCAGGGUCCCUGUGUGGCAGAAGACCCACCAGGAGAAUCCCCAGGUUACUCCUGAGGGCCGGGAGCCCACAGGCACACAGGCAGCGCUGCCCUCAGGAGUUGGCCCACUGACCACAGCUGUCCUAGUGCUCAGACUGGGGGCUCCUGGCCAGGACCUAUGCAGACCCAGGUGCACUGAGGGGCAGGGGAGGGCCUCUGGUCACACAGUAGAAGUGCUCCCCAGAGCCUGCAGCCUCCUUCCUGAUGUGCUCUUGGGAUAAAAACCAGGGGCUGGGAAGACCCAGCCCCACCACUUCCUGCAAGGCUUUAAGCACCCUGACCUCAAGGCCGUGGCACUGCUGCUCCUUCCUCCUGAGCCCUCCCCCACUCUCUGCCCAUGGCUCUUGUCUGCUGCCUCCUUGGGGACCUUCCUGAUCGCACCACGGGAAGGACCCCGCCAACUGGGCAGCCUGAGACCCCUCAGUGCAGCUGCCAUGGUGCAGAUACAUCUGUGCUGGGUAAGCACACCUGGGAAACCUCUGUCCCCUUCUGGAGCUCAAAAAGGAGAGCAGGCAGCACUGAAGCACCGUGUGCCCUGCAGGCUGGUGGCUGGCACCUGAGACGGGUGACUGAGGAAUGGUGGCUGGGAUGCCGAACACCUUGGUGCAAGGUGGGGCCAGAGGCAGGGGGUGGAGACCAGGGCUCCAGGCAGUGGGAGCAUCCCACUCGCCCACCCAGCAGAACAGCGGUGAAAGCCCAGAAGGGAGGAAUGGGGCCACCGCUUCUGCAGCAGCACUUCCACACCACCCUACGAAGAAAAUGGGGGCAAAAGGGGGCAGGUGUCAGCCACCAUGCUCGAGAGAAGACAUACAAAUGGCCAGCAGGCAGAGGAACAAGUGCCCAGCAUCGCUGAUCAUCUGAGAAGUGCAGGUCAAAGCCAGCCCUGAGGCAAAACAGCUGUUACCCAGACAGCAAGGUCCAGAGCAGGUGAAGUCGGGGUACAGAGGAUCCUGCCCUCCACGGUCACUGGAGCACCACCCACAACAGGGGAGCCACCCAAGUGUCCACCCGCUGAGGACGGAGAAGGACACAUGGGAUUAGACCCAGAGAAAGGCUGAUGGCCGCAGGGAAGAAGGGGCCUGCCAUUCGUUCUCAGCAACCUGGGGAAGUGAGGUGGUCUCUCUCCUGCAGCAGCUAUAGCAGUGGCUCUAGAGGCAGAGGGCGAGUGCUGGCUACCACAUCCACGCCGCAGGAGAGCCACACCAUCACGGGAGAAGAGAGGUUUGUCUCCUCCGAAACGCGGUGAGAGCGUUGGAAUUCGUGAGGGGGCAGGAGUGCCUACCGGACCCAAAGACCUCACGACUAUGCUUGAAUGGAAACACCACACCGUGCCCCGAUAACAGGCACCAUGUUUGUGUGUCCAUGCAUCCAUUUGAAAGCAUAUUUAAAUUUAAAAUAAAAAGUGGUUAUUUA